rnacentral:rRNA from 1 species
UGGCCUUGACAUAGUAGAAACUUUCCAGAGAUGGAAAGGUGCCUUCGGGAAUCUACAUACAGGUGCUGCAUGGCUGUCGUCAGCUCGUGUCGUGAGAUGUUGGGUUAAGUCCGCAACGAGCGCAACCCUUUUCCUUACUUGCCAGCAUUUCGGAUGGGAACUUUAAGGAUACUGCCAGUGACAAACUGGAGGAAGGCGGGGACGACGUCAAGUCAUCAUGGCCCUUACGGCCAGGGCUACA